UCGGGUAUGGUGUAACGGUAACAUUUCUGACUCUCAAUAUCUUCUCAUCAAGAUCGAGCACUCAGGGGCCCGGGGUUCGAUUCCCCGUAUCCGAG